rnacentral:tRNA from 1 species
GGAGGGUUGCCGGAGUGGUUAACGGAGCAGUUUGCUAAACUGUCGACACGCAAGUGUCGCAAGGGUUCGAGUCCCUUACCCUCCG